rnacentral:rRNA from 1 species
GCCAGCUUGAAACUCAAAAGACUUGACAGUAUCUCACACACACCUAGAGGAGCCUGUCCUAUAAUCGAUAACCCACGAUAAACCUUACCUGCUCUUGAAUUGAUCAGCCUAUAUACCUCCGUCGCCAGUACGCCUGCCAACAGAUGCCAAAGCGCAUACAACAGCCCUAUCACUCCCACGACAGGUCAAGGUGUAGCUAAUGAGCUUAGGGAGAGAUGGGCUACAUUUUCUCCAUUAGAAAAUACCCAAGAUGCAAUGAAAAUGGCUCGUAAGGCGGAUUUAGCAGUAAGCAGGGCUAGACAAGCCCCCCUGAAGCCUUCCAUGAGAUGUGUACACACCGCCCGUCACCCUCCUCAUAAACACAUAAACGUAACUAAUCCCCCAACAAAAUAAAGAUGAGGUAAGUCGUAACACGGUAAGCGUACCGGAAGGUGCGCUUGGCUAGUCUCAAGGUGGCUUAAAAUUAAAGCGUUAGGUUUACAACCUAG